GGCCUGGAGCAGGGUGACCGCAGGCCUGGAGGAGCGAGAGGACAGCUAUUUCGCCCGCGGCCUCCCGUAGCGCCGGCUGGGUUUCGCGGGUCGCACCCAGGCUCACCCGGCCAGGGAAAAGGGUUGCAUGAGCGGUGGUCCAAAGGGUUGGGGUUGGGGUGCCGGGAGGGCCUCGGGUCGUGGGCGGGGGGCUGCGGGGAGGGGAAGGAGGGCCGCGGCGCGGGGGAGCGCAGGGACAUGGCACAGCUGGACGAUGAGGAGGGGGCAGCGGUGGCACCCGGGCACCCGCCCGCGAAUGGAUACCUCCUGGUCCCGGGCGGCGAGCCCCUCGGAAAGCUAAGCGCCGAGCCGCAGAACGGGCUCAAAGCCGGCUGCCUGACCCUGAAUGGAGUGUCUCCGGACAGCCUCGCGGCCGCGGCUCAGUCCCUCGGCGGGCCUCAGACUCCGCUGGCUCCAGAGGAGGAGACCCAGACACGGCUGCUGCCCACGGGCCCCGGGGAGGAGACCGCCGGGGCCGAGGGUUCCCGGGUGCCCCAGACGGCGCUCUCUGCGCGGCGCUUUGUGGUGCUGCUGAUCUUCAGCCUGUACUCGCUGGUGAACGCCUUUCAGUGGAUCCAGUACAGCAUCAUCAGCAAUGUCUUUGAGGGCUUCUAUGGCGUCUCCUCCCUGCACAUCGACUGGCUGUCCAUGGUGUACAUGCUGGCCUACGUGCCCCUCAUCUUUCCGGCCACGUGGCUGCUGGACACCAGAGGCCUGCGGCUCACCGCCCUGCUGGGCUCCGGCCUCAACUGCCUGGGCGCCUGGAUCAAGUGCGCCAGUGUCCAGCAGCAUCUCUUCUGGGUCACCAUGCUGGGCCAGUGUCUCUGCUCCGUGGCCCAGGUGUUCAUCCUCGGCUUGCCCUCCCGCAUCGCCUCGGUGUGGUUUGGCCCCAAGGAGGUAUCCACAGCUUGUGCCACUGGCGUGCUGGGCAAUCAGCUUGGAACUGCUGUUGGCUUUUUGCUACCACCAGUUUUAGUGCCCAACACACAGAAUGACACAGAUCUGCUGGCUUGUAAUAUCAGUACCAUGUUUUAUGGGACGUCAUCCAUCGCCACGUUUUUAUGUCUUUUAACAGUAAUUGCAUUCAAAGAAAAACCUCAGUAUCCACCAAGCCAGGCGCAAGCAGUUCUUCAAAAAAGCCCCUGUGCUGAGUACUCCUAUAAGAAAUCAAUAAGGAACCUAUUUAAAAACAUUCCUUUUGUCCUUCUGUUGAUCACUUACGGUAUCAUAACGGGAGCAUUUUACUCAGUCUCAACAUUAUUAAAUCAAAUGAUACUGACAUAUUAUAAGGGAGAAGAAAUCAAUGCUGGAAGGAUUGGGCUAACAUUGGUAGUGGCUGGAAUGGUGGGCUCUAUUCUUUGUGGCCUAUGGCUAGAUCAUACCAAAACAUACAAACAGACUACUCUGAUAGUUUACAUUUUGUCUUUUUUGGGAAUGGUUGUAUUUACUUUCACGUUGGACCUUGGAUACAUUAUCAUCGUGUUUGUUACUGGAGGGAUACUCGGUUUCUUCAUGACUGGUUACCUCCCAUUGGGUUUUGAAUUUGCUGUUGAAAUCACUUACCCUGAAUCUGAAGGUACUUCCUCUGGUCUUCUUAAUGCUUCAGCCCAGAUAUUUGGAAUUUUGUUCACAUUGGCUCAAGGAAAGCUCACAUCAGACUAUGGUCCUAAGGCAGGGAACAUUUUCCUUUGUAUUUGGAUGUUUCUAGGCAUCAUUUUAACAGCAUUAAUCAAGUCUGAUCUCAAAAGACACAAUAUAAACAUAGGAAUUACGAACGGUGAUAUUAAAGCUGUACCAGUUGAAGAGAGUCCCACAGAUCAAGAAUCCAAAACCAUGAUGAUGUCCAAGCAGUCAGAAUCGGCAAUUUGAGGCGAAGGAAAAAGUUAACAUCAUGUGAUAGUUGGGCAGCCCCGGGAAAGCAUCCGUCACGGCGUGUAGAGUAAAAACAUGUCCUCUGGGAACCUAAAGUCUAAGGUUUGUGGUGAGGAUGAAAUUUAAGUAGAAGGCACACCGGAGAUCCUUAACCAAGAGAUCCAUUGUCACUCCCCCGGUGAGAAACAGUAAAGGUAGGGGCAGACUCUGCUAACACAGCCAGCUGACUGAUUUGGGAGAAUGUGUGUUCAAGUGUUUGAACUUGACAUUUUUUGUAGCAGCUGCCUUUAAGAUCAUUGAUAUCCAAAGUACUUAGCCACUUCAGUGUACAUGUGGGCGCAACGCUGGGCAUGGUGCAAAGAAAUGAAACAAAACUGAAUUCUAAAGACAUGGUGAGAUCUGGACAGACGGGGUGGAAGUCAGGGUGCUUAGGCACCAAAGAACAAAACUGAGACUCUCAGGAAAAAGUGGUUUCUGUGUUUAUUGCACAACCCACAACAAAGGAGGUUAAACGACAAGCUAAGAACAAGCUGCCCAAGAGUCCCCGACCCACAGGCAACUCUCUCUCCUCGUUUCCUUUUCACUCACAUGCGUGCAGAACCUCACACAAAUAGAAAGCACCUUGUGUAUUUCAUGUAACAUCCUAGGCAUUUUCCAUGUUGCUACAUGGCCUUGAUAACCAUUGUUUUAUUUCUAUUUUUACUUUUUCCAGUUUUAUUGACAUGUAAUUGACAUAGAACAUUGUAGUAGUUUAAGGUGUACACAUGAGUUGACAUAUGUGUAUAUUGUGAAACGAUUGCACAAUAAGGUUGGCUAAUAUCCAGCCCCUCACAACUACACAUUUUGUUUUUCUUGUAAUGAGAACUUCUAGGAUCUACUCUCUUAGUACUUUUCAAAUAACCAUUAUUUAAAACAAAACAGGACUUGGGACGCCUGGGUGGCUUAGUGGGUUAAAGCCUCUGCCUUUGGCUCAGGUCAUGAUCCUGGGGUCCUGGGAUUGAGCCCCAAAUCAGGCUCUCUGCUCAGUGGGGAGCCUGCUUCCUCCUCUCUCUCUGCCUGCCUCUCUGCCUACUUGUGAUCUCUGCCUGUCAAAUAAAUUAAUUAAAUUAAAUUAAACAAAAAACAAAAAACAAAAAAUACAGGGCACCUGGGUGACUCAGUCAGUUAAGCGUCUGCCUUCAGCUCAGGUAAUGAUCCCAGGGUCCUGGGGCAGAGUCCCACAUCAGGUUCCCUGCUGAGCAGGUAGUCUGCUUUUCUCUAUGCCUGUCCCCACCCUCUGCUUGUGCACUCCAUCUCUCCCUCUCUUGCAAAAAUAAAUAAAUAAAAUCUGGGGCACCUGGGUGGCUCAGUGGAUUAAGCCUUUGACUUCAGCUCAGGUCAUGAUCUCAGGGUUCUGAGAUCAAGCUCUGCAUCGGGCUCUCUGCUCAGCAGGGAGCCUGCUUCCCCCUCUCUCUCUGCCUGCCUCUCUGCCUACUUGUGAGCUUUCUCUCUCUCUGUCAAAUAAAUAAAUAAAAUCUUUAACAAAUAAAUAAAUAAAUAAAAUCUUUUAAAAAGUAAAUAAAACAAGACAAAACAACAAAUAACCAUUAAUUAAAAUAGGGUUUUUUUUUUUUAAAGAUUUUAUUUAUUUAUUUGACAGACAGAGAUCACAAGUAGGCAGAGAGGCAGGUAGAGAGAGAGGAGGAAGCAGGCUCCCUGCUGAGCAGGGAUCCCAAUUUGGAGCUCGAUCCCAGGACCCAGGAUCAUGACCCAAGCUGAAGACUGAGGCUCGAAUCCACCGAGCCACACAGGCGCCCCUAAUUAAAAUAGUUAUUUUAAGUAUAUCCCCAUCCGGCUGAUAUGCUGUAAAUUGCUUAAUGUUUCUGUACUAGCGGACAUGCAUUCAUUUACCUAUUUGAUGUGUAUCGAGCACGUGCAACUGUGUCAGGGUUUAUGGUAGGACCCGGAAAUACAAAACAGUGUCUCUCUGAACAUUUGCUCAGAGACUGAACACAAGCAAAUGAAAAGGGAGAAGUAGGGAAGCCGUGUUCCCUCCUGGGGGAACCAACAUGCAGCCUCUCACCCUUAGAACCAGGCAGGGCUUUUCUCCUGUUUUGAACAGAGGAGGAUCGUGAUACUUGGGAAGCCCCAAUUUCAUUGUUUUAUGCCCCUGUCGUCUCUUGGCCCACCCUCCCUUCCUACUCUGUCAAAACCGUCUCUCAGCUCCCUUCAUUUCACUGAGGUGUGAAAGCCUGAAAAUGUAAUCCCCGAUUGUAUUUUUAUUUUAUUUUUUAAAGAUGUUACUUAUUUAUUUGAAAGAGAGAGAGAGGAGAGCAGACAGGGGGGCAGAGGCAGAGGGAGAGACAAAAUCCUCAAGCAGACUUCCCACUGAGCCGGGAGCCAGACAUGGGGCCCCAACCCAGGACCCUGAGAUCAUGACCUGAGCCGAAGUCAGACGCUCCAGGCACCCAGCCCCUGCAUUUGUAUUUUAAAUUGGUCUAGGGUAAAUGGAUAAAGCUCAGACAGCCUCAGUUAUCCAGUAGGAUUAUGUGAGGCUUUGCACCUCCGUGUGUCCCUGAAAUCAUUCUACUUUAGACUUGUGGCUCUUUUUAGCCAACCAGAUUUCCUUACCAGCUCUGAAAACGUGGCUGCUAGACCUUCGCCCGGCAGCGGGCAGGAGACCCAUUUCCACUCCAAAAAAUGGGAUGCGCACUCCCUCUACCGGUCAUUUCGUGAACUGCUCUGGACUCCUUGCAAUUUCACUAGCUUGCUGAGGGGGUGUGUGGGCGGGUUUAGGGGCGGAGGGACAGGCAUGUGCCAGUUCAUUUUAGCCGUAUCUCCAAACCAGGAGGAGUCAUUUGCCCCCUAACACCCACACCCACACCUACACCCACACCCACACACCCACACAGGUUAAACAAGCAAGUGUCUUCACACUCCCACCGUCUGGGCUACACAGCAAGGGGCCGUGGUGAACAUUAACCACUGACAACCUCUCACAUGUUUACUGACACUUUGGAGGCAAAUACAGGCGUAUCACAUGUUAUUGUGCUUUGCAGAUGUUGCAUUUUUCACCAGCGGAAGGCUUGAGGCAACCCUGCCCCGAGCAGGUCUCUUGGUGCCGUUUUCCCAACAGCAUGGGCUCGCCUCGUGUCUCUGUGUCACAUUCUGGUUAUCCUUGCAGUAUUUCGAACGUUGUCAUUAUUAUUACCUGUGAAUUGCUGCAAUCUCAUGGCGAAACCUGAGCCGCUGAGGACAGAGAGCGGCUUCUCGAGACGGGCUCUGAGGUUGAAGAAGCUGUGGGCACGAAGUGGCUACGGAAGGUUUAGAAUGUUCCGGAGCCGGGUGGAUAAAUCAGUGGGAGGCUUGGAGAGGGUUGACUCAGCUGUGAAAGAAGUUCGACUGCGGGUAAAACAUUCUCGACGCUAACAGAGAAAUGGUUCACCAAAGGACGAGUCAACCAAGGCGCGGCAAACUGCGCUGUUGUCUCAUUUUAAGAAAUUGCCCCGUCAUCCUGGCCUUCACCCCAACCUCUGCUGCCUGAUCCGCCAGCAGCCAUCAGCGUCAAGGCCAGAGCCUCCAGCAGCACAAAGAUUCCGACUCACUACAAGCUCAAAUGGUGGUUAGCGUUUUUUAGCAAUUAAGUAUGUUUUAACUAAGGUAUGUCUUUUGGGGGACAUAACGCUGUGGCACGCUUACUAGACUACCAUCCCCAGUAAACAUCACUUUCACAGGCCCUGGGAAACCGAAGCAUUCGCUGGGCUCGCUUUUCUGUGAUAGUCGAGCGGCAGUGGUGGUCUGGAACCGAACCCGCGGCACCUCUGAGGUAAGCCUGGUCCGGGGAGGUUGGUGGAUAGUUUGACUCAGCUUAACCGUCUUGCACAACUUGUGUCAGAUGGGAAAAGUCAGCGUGUUUUGGCCGAAGACUGCUCCUCAGCGGAAUCUGUGAGCCACGCUGGUGGUCCCCCGUUGUGUCCUCCAACCGUGCUUGCUGCCCCAGGCCUGUCCCGGUGCCACCGUGGGGGGCGACCUCCCUUCCACAGGCAGCCGGCAGCUCAGCCGUGUGCUUUCUCCAACCCCAUCUCUGCUGACCCCAAAGCGAGAUGACUGAGGCUGCUCUGACUGGAGUCGCCCGGGGGUCAUCCACAGCACCCCUGGCCAUGCCUCGCAGCCCAGGACUCCGGGCUUGGAACAUGGCCUAUGUUAACCAAAGGUUCUCCAACUCCAGUGCCCUCCGAGUCACCUGGACCCUUACUGAGACACAAAGUGCUGAGUCCCAAGCCCAGAGGUUCUGAUUCGGCAGGUCUGAGGCGAGGCCCAAGAUUACAAAUUCCUGGUACGUCCCCAGGUGAGGAGAUGCUGCUGGUCCCAGGUCCACACUAGAAGUGGGAACAGCUUUCCGGCCCUGCCAGCUGGCCUUGUCUCCCCGGGCGGGCUGAACACACACAUGGCCUCUUCAGGUGGUUCUACCUGGGCUCUGCGCCCCUCCCCCAGAGGCUCCCCUUAGCUGCCCCAGAAAUGCUCCCUGGGGCGUGAGUGGAAACAUGACCUGGUUGUUCUUUUCACUGUCCAGAUGGGAGGCUUUUGUGUGUCCUCAGUGAAGAGGAACAAGGUAGGGAUCUGGUUUCUCAGACUCCAGGCCGGUUCGGAGCCCAGCAGGUGCAUCGCGGACGACGGCGGGGAAGGAAAGCAGGUGGUGCUGCUGGCCCGUCUCCAGCCUGCGGGGACCAGAGCUAGAGGCCUCGGCUUCUGUUCAGGAACAAACUUCCUCCCCCACGGAGCCCAGGGAGGGCCAGGCUGACCCCUGGGGAGUGUCAGCCUUCGCUGCUCCCUGCUGCUCCCUGUCAGCCCUGUGUCUUGCGCCCCUCCCCUUUCCUCCGGACUCCGGACUCCUGCGUCAGGAAACAGGGCAGGUUCCAGGUGGGAGCAGGGGCACCGGGGCUAGAAAAACUGGCUUCAAGGAAAGCGGUUUCCUCCCCGGUGAAGACAGCACACACCCCAUCCCCACAGCCCCUGACUGCCACCAAGCCAGGAAAGCAAGCAGCACCCUUACCUGGUCCGGAGAGAAGGCAGCAAAAGACAGAAGAGGGCCAGGCGGGUCUGUCCGUAGCAACAGCCCCGAACGCGCUGAGAGGCCGACCUUCCCCCUUCUCCGCUCCAUCUCCAGCCUCCUCCUGCACAGUCCGGGCCGACUUUCCUUCCUGAAGGACACGUGGCUGGGAGGUUUUGCCCGUUCCUUCACGUCAGCACCCUCCCCGGACAGAUGAGCUCUUUGGAAACGGGAAAGAUUCUCCCGAAAUAGAGGGGUUUGCAGGAAGUCUGUCCCACAGAGCAGACCAGAUCCCAUAAGCACUCCAGUCCGAGGCUCACACGUAGCUUCCCGACAGUAACUAGGGAUGCCUUUGAUUAAAAAACCAAACCAAACCAAAAAACCCCACAGAUGGUUCAAGCCGGUUCCCAGAAACUGACUCCUCGAACUGGGGAUGGGGCUUUGGAAGUUUUCACAAGCGUCCGACGAGCCCCCAAAGCAACUGGGCUGUGGCCACCUUUGCCUAGGAAGGCUCUUACCGCCUGUUGGGGGGCUACCGGGGCUGUUGGUACGUGGGGAGGUUCCUCCUGAAACAGUGCUUUGGGGGCUCGGAAGAUCCAACCACAGGUCUGGGUUAGGAAGGAGCCCCCAGAUGACCAACCGAAGCAUCGUCCAGGGCUGGGGGGAGGGCUCGGUGUGGCCCCUCUGUGGAAGGCUCCAUGGGCAACAUCACCGACCCAACGGCUAGCAGUGCUGGCCAGGCUCCCCACUAAACAGUUAGGGUCCUACUUUCAGAGGGGAUAAUAACAAGCCUCACCUGUUGAGAACAGUCCCCAAAGUCGUUCUUGUGCAUGAUCUCAUCUGCCCCCGUGACGGAGGCCACUUUGGUUCCUACAACCACAGCAGCUCUGAAAGAAGGCUGGGCUUCAGCCGAGACCUGCCUCGAGUUCCCCCAUUCACCCCCACCCCACAGGCCUGUAGUCUAAGUAAAAUGGUGUAUAUGUGCUUGCAGACAAUUUCCCAGCACCCCCAUCUCUCUCCUGAGGGCCCCCUAAGUGCCUCCUAUGGAAAAUUCUGGAGCCUCACUAAUUACAACCAUUUUGCGGAAGAAUAAACUCAGACUCAGCCUUGCCAAGAGUUGCAUAGCUAGGAAAGAAUGGAGUCAGGGCCCCGCUCCUCCCCCCCUUGGGGAGAUUGCCCAGGGAAGGCCUCUCUCCUAGCCUCUGCUGCCUCCUCUGGGAAAGGGAGGUCAGAACCCGCAGGUCAGGAGUGGCUGGCAGAGCUUCAGCCCCAGGCAAGGAAUUUCUGCCUCCUGCAUCCAUAAGACAGUUGGGUCCACAGAGACCCUCCCAUACCCAACCUGUCUGGGGGAAGCCGCCCCUGGUUCCCCAAGGGAAACCCACUUCCUAAGUCCCUGGGUCUCCCCGUGAGGAUGUGGGUCAGGGACAGAUGUUGGGGAAAGGCAUUCCCGGCAUUCAGAGGUAGACACUCUAGGCUCCAAAUAAUAAUGAUAAGGAUGAGCUAUAUGGGUGACCCCCACAUUUGGGCGUAUCUGGAAUCUUCUGGAAACACAAAGUCCCACGAACCACCCACACAUACUCCUGAGCCAGACAACCAGAGAAAGAGUGAGUUCAUCUGUGGGAGGCUCUUUGAUAACAACUGUAUAUUGAAUAAAGUUUAAAAUAGAAAUCCGA